rnacentral:rRNA from 1 species
AAUGAACGCUGGCGGCAGGCUUAAUACAUGCAAGUCGAGCGAGCGGCGGACGGGUGAGUAAUGUCUGAGAAACUGCCUGAUGGAGGGGGAUAACUACUGGAAACGGUAGCUCAUACCGCUACCCAUCAGCUGUGCCCAGAUGGGCUUAGCUAGUAGGUGGGUUAAUGGCUCACCUAGGCGACGAGCCCUAGCUGGUCGGAGAGGGUGACCAGCCACAUGGGAACUGAGACACGUUCCAGACUCCUACGGGAGGCAGCAGUGGGGAAUAUUGCACAAUGGGCGCAAGCCUGAUGCAGCCAUGCCGCGUGUGUGAAGAAGGCCUUCGGGUUGUAAAGCACUUUCAGCGAGGAGGCGUUACUCGAAGAGGAAGCACCGGCUAACUCCGUGCCAGCAGCCGCGGUAAUUC